GGGGAUAUAGCUUGAAUGGUAGAGUGUAUGUUUAGCAUGCACAAAGUCUUGGGUUCAAUACCCAGUACCUCCA
rnacentral:tRNA from 1 species